rnacentral:tRNA from 1 species
AGGCCUGUAGCUCAAUUAGGCUAGAGCGCUGGACUCCAAAUCCAGUGGUUGGGGGUUCAAGUCCCUCCAGGCCUG